rnacentral:lncRNA from 1 species
AUGUUUGCAUUGUUAUUUUUAAUAGAGAAUAACCAGGAGAUACACCAGGAAGCUUUAAUUAACUUAAUGUGAAGCUAUUAGAAGCCAGCUGGAGAGCACCAAAGGCUUGGAAAAGUGGCUUUAAAAGUUACCUAAAUAAAAAGGAGCUUUGUCUUUCGAUAAACUAGGGUUUAUCCCUAUAAGCAUAUUGUAAUGGAAACUUCGGUUUUAUCCCAUUUAUUUAUUA